AGUGAACGCUGGCGGUAGGCCUAACACAUGCAAGUCGAACGGCAGCACAGUAAGAGCUUGCUCUUACGGGUGGCGAGUGGCGGACGGGUGAGGAAUACAUCGGAAUCUACUUUUUCGUGGGGGAUAACGUAGGGAAACUUACGCUAAUACCGCAUACGACCUACGGGUGAAAGCAGGGGAUCUUCGGACCUUGCGCGAUUGAAUGAGCCGAUGUCGGAUUAGCUAGUUGGCGGGGUAAAGGCCCACCAAGGCGACGAUCCGUAGCUGGUCUGAGAGGAUGAUCAGCCGCACUGGAACUGAGACACGGUCCAGACUCCUACGGGAGGCAGCAGGGGGGAAUAUUGGACAAUGGGCGCAAGCCUGAUCCAGCCAUACCGCGUGGGUGAAGAAGGCCUUCGGGUUGUAAAGCCCUUUUGUUGGGAAAGAAAAGCAGCAGGUUAAUACCCCGCUGUUCUGACGGUACCCAAAGAAUAAGCACCGGCUAACUGCGU
rnacentral:rRNA from 1 species